AUGUACUUGGGGGAUGAAUAGCGUGUUAUUAGGGGAUCAGAAUGGUACCAAAGUUGCCAUGACUACCUUUAUUGUUUUGCCGCUUUCGAGCAUUCUUUCAGAGCAAUUUCGCAUACAAUGGCGCAUCGAAGCCAAAAUGUUAAAAUUGAUGAACUUCGGCUUCGAAUAACUUUUGUUUUUAAGGCCAUCCUUUUAUAAUAUUUGGUAGGACUAAAUUUAUGGCCUUUAUCUAAAUUCCUACCGAAGCACUUUUUUCGAUUUCGUCUUUGAUCGCAGUCAAAAUGCAUUUGAAUAAGGCCACCAGACAGAGCCUUUGGAUGUCAACGCAAUUAAUAUAACGUUUCGCGUCUGAGGUUGCAGUCAAAAGAAAGAUGGAAUUAUCGGCCACGUAACAGAAAUUGAGGCGAUUAGACGAAAAGGUAUGUUUCGCAUUUGUUUAUUGUAUUAUUUGUACGAAAAAAGGGAUAAUAUAUUGAUAUGUUUUAAAAAGCAGGCGACUUGUGUUGUUGAUUUGAAUAUUGUAAACAUUCUUGAGCGCUCAAGAGCUAUAAUACCUAUAGCGGCCUAUAGCUACAAGCCCUUUAACCCUAUAUUUUCGAAUUGGG